GGAGGUAGAAGACAUGGAGAGCUUACUCAAAACGAUGCGGACCAUGGGGGCGCUGUAAGAGAUUUACCAGCAGAGCCAAGGAUAUCAAAGCAAGCUAUUCAUAAGAGCUCAAAAAAGGAUAAGGAAGCUACCGAAGCAGCAGAGAAGCUUCACCAGAACAUGAAAAAACGGCCCUGUUUGAGAGCAGGAGGAGCUGUUGAUGCAGUAAACAAGGAGAAUAUUCACAAGCGCAAGAAGGAUAGUAGUAAGAUGGAUCUUGAACAGUGCAUGGAGACUAAUCAAAAGCGCAGGAAGGAUACCAGUAAGAUGGUUCUUGAACAAAGCACAG